rnacentral:rRNA from 1 species
GACGAACGCUGGCGGCGUGCUUAACACAUGCAAGUCGAACGGAAGGGCCCUGCUUUUGUGGGGUGCUCGAGUGGCGAACGGGUGAGUAACACGUGAGUAACCUGCCCUUGACUUUGGGAUAACUUCAGGAAACUGGGGCUAAUACCGGAUAGGAGCUCCUGCUGCAUGGUGGGGGUUGGAAAGUUUCGGCGGUUGGGGAUGGACUCGCGGCUUAUCAGCUUGUUGGUGGGGUAGUGGCUUACCAAGGCUUUGACGGGUAGCUGGCCUGAGAGGGUGACCGGCCACAUUGGGACUGAGAUAUGGCCCAGACUCCUACGGGAGGCAGCAGUGGGGAAUAUUGCACAAUGGGCGGAAGCCUGAUGCAGCAACGCCGCGUGCGGGAUGACGGCCUUCGGGUUGUAAACCGCUUUCGCCUGUGACGAAGCGUGAGUGACGGUAAUGGGUAAAGAAGCACCGGCUAACUACGUG